UGGCGGAUGGGCAUGCGGCGCAUUAGCUAGUCGGCGGGGUAACGGCCCACCGAGGCGACGAUGCGUAGGGGUUCUGAGAGGAAGGUCCCCCACACUGGUACUGAGACACGGACCAGACUCCUACGGGAGGCAGCAGUGAGGAAUAUUGGUCAAUGGGCGCGAGCCUGAACCAGCCAAGUCGCGUGAGGGAUGACGGUCCUACGGAUUGUAAACCUCUUUUGCCGGGGAGCAAGCGUGCGUUCGUGAACGCGCGUCGAGAGUACCCGGAGAAAAAGCAUCGGCUAACUCCGUGCCAGCAGCCGCGGUAAUACGGAGGAUGCGAGCGUUAUCCGGAUUUAUUGGGUUUAAAGGGUGCGUAGGCGGGAUGCCAAGUCAGCGGUAAAAAUGCGGUGCUCAACGCCGUCGAGCCGUUGAAACUGGCGUUCUUGAGUGGGCGAGAAGUAUGCGGAAUGCGUGGUGUAGCGGUGAAAUGCAUAGAUAUCACGCAGAACUCCGAUUGCGAAGGCAGCAUACCGGCGCCCUACUGACGCUGAGGCACGAAAGCGUGGGUAUCGAACAGGAUUAGAUACCCUGGUAGUCCACGCAGUAAACGAUGAAUGCUAACUGUCCGGCUCGAAUGAGCGCUGG
rnacentral:rRNA from 1 species